GCUGAGGUGUCGUUUGGUUGAGUAUAAUUAUAUAAUGUAGGUAAAUAUAUAAAUAUAACUAAAAGAAUUAUGCGCUUAUAUUUUUAAAAGUACUAAAUUAUUGAUGUUUGUAGGUUUUGAUCCUUAAAUUAAAAAAUAUGCAGUUAGGAUGAUAGUGAUUCUUUAGAAUUGAAUGAAUAGUUAGUUAAAUGGUAUGAUCUAAAAGAUGAAAAUGAUUAAAAGGAUUAGAUCUAAUGACAGAAAACUUACAAUCACAUAAUGCUUAGUGCUUUUAGAAGUAGCAUAGUCGGACUCCAAUAUGACAGUAUAGUUAUACGCAUUUUAUUUACUUAGAUAUAAUAAAAAGUAGUGUAAGUAUAAAUAGACUGAGGUAACCAAAGAAAGACUUUUACGACCUUUCCUUUGUCUUGUUGGCUCCACUUUUGGGGUCAACUUUGACCACAAAGUAGGGCCAACAAGCAAAAUAAUUUAUUUGCUAUUUUUUAUAAGUAUAAAUUUAUUUUUUUAUUUAUGAAUAGUAAUUGUUUUGAGUUGUUCCAAUAUAUAAAAAUAUAUUUUGUGUAUUAAUUAUUUUUAGUUAGUUAUAUUUGGUUAUUAUUAUUAUUUGUUAAAAAUAAUUGAUUAUUUAUUUUUUUCUAUUUUUGUUGGCUAUUGACAUUUGAUUAUUUUUAAAUGGUUUGUAAAAAA
rnacentral:lncRNA from 1 species